rnacentral:tRNA from 1 species
AUUUAUAUAGUUUAAACAAAACAAUACACUUUCAUUGUAUCAAUAAUACUAUAUCAGUAUUUAUAAAUA